UACGUAGGGGGCUAGCGUUGUCCGGAUUUAUUGGGCGUAAAGAGCGUGUAGGCGGCCAGGUAGGUCUGCUGUGAAAACUCGAGGCUCAACCUCGAGACGUCGGCGGAAACCAUCUGGCUAGAGUCCGGAAGAGGAGAGUGGAAUUCCAGGUGUAGCGGUGAAAUGCGUAGAUAUCUGGAGGAACAUCGGUGGCGAAGGCGACAUCCUGGACCGGUAUUGACGCUGAGGCGCGAAAGCCAGGGGAGCAAACGGG
rnacentral:rRNA from 1 species